CGCUAGCCUCUGCCGCCGGCCACUAUCGGCUUCUCAACGGUCGCCGAGUUCAAAAGUACAUUUUGUAAAGUAGGAGAGUGCAAUCAAAAUGACUGUCUCCUAGUGCUAGCACAACCAGUUCUGCUUUUUUUUUUUUUUUAAACGUGUACUCUGCUCUGCAAACGUCUGCAGUCUGCCCCUGAUAGAUUUUUUUUUUGUGGUAGGUGGUUUUAUGCUGUAGGCUAGAGUCUGUGUGCUAUGAUUUAGGGUUAGGUGGUUUUAUGCUGUAGGAUACAGGCUGUGUGUGCUGUGAAUUAGGGUUCGGUUUCAUGCUGUAGGAUACAGGCUCUGUGCUGUGAGUUAGGGUUAGGUGGUUUUAUGCUGUCGGAAUACAGGCUGUGUGCUGUGAGUUGGGGUUUCAUGCUGUAGGAUACAGGCUCUGCUGUGGGUUGGGUUGAGCAGGUUCUGAUGUGCGUUUCUUUGGGUUGGGGUGAGCAGGUUCUGAUGCGUGGUGUUUCUGUGGGUUGGGGUGAGCAGGUUCUGACGUGUGGUGUUUCUGUGGGUCGGGGUGAGCAGGU